rnacentral:rRNA from 1 species
CUACUAGGGUUUCUAAUCCUGUUUGCUCCCCACGCUUUCGUGCCUCAGUGUCAGUGCUGGUCCAGGUGGCCGCCUUCGCCACGGAUGUUCCUCCCGAUAUCUACGCAUUUCACUGCUACACCGGGAAUUCCGCCACCCUCUACCGCACUCCAGAUCGCCAGUAUCCAAUGCAGUUCCCAGGUUGAGCCCAGGGCUUUCACAUCAGACUUAACGAACCACCUACGCACGCUUUACGCCCAGUAAUUCCGAGUAACGCUUGCACCCUUCGUAUUACCGCGGCUGCUGGCAC